rnacentral:sRNA from 1 species
UUGAUAAGAAAUAAUCCGUAGACAGUAGGUGCUAGAUAAUGGCUUAAUUUCCUACCGAGGUGAACGUUCUUGAUUUGAAAUAUAGAACAGAGUAUCCUUGUGUCUGCUUACGGCACAAGGUUUUUUUAUUU